rnacentral:tRNA from 1 species
AUUACUUUAACAUAAAAGUGUAUUAAAUUUAGAAUUUAAAAAGUGUAAUAUUAAAUUACAAGUAAUA